rnacentral:rRNA from 1 species
UUGGUGACCAGCGGAGGGAUCAUUACCGAGUUUACAACUCCCAAACCCAAUGUGAACGUUACCAAACUGUUGCCUCGGCGGGGUCACGCCCCGGGUGCGUCGCAGCCCCGGAACCAGGCGCCCGCCGGAGGAACCAACCAAACUCUUUCUGUAGUCCCCUCGCGGACGUAUUUCUUACAGCUCUGAGCAAAAAUUCAAAAUGAAUCAAAACUUUCAACAACGGAUCUCUUGGUUCUGGCAUCGAUGAAGAACGCAGCGAAAUGCGAUAAGUAAUGUGAAUUGCAGAAUUCAGUGAAUCAUCGAAUCUUUGAACGCACAUUGCGCCCGCCAGUAUUCUGGCGGGCAUGCCUGUCCGAGCGUCAUUUCAACCCUCGAACCCCUCCGGGGGAUCGGCGUUGGGGAUCGGGACCCCUCACACGGGUGCCGGCCCCUAAAUACAGUGGCGGUCUCGCCGCAGCCUCUCCUGCGCAGUAGUUUGCACAACUCGCACCGGGAGCGCGGCGCGUCCACGUCCGUAAAACACCCAACUUUCUGAAAUGUUGACCUCGGAUCAGGUAGGAAUACCCGCUGAACUUAAGCAUAUCAA